rnacentral:rRNA from 1 species
GAUCCUGGCUCAGGAUGAACGCUAGCUACAGGCUUAACACAUGCAAGUCGAGGGGCAGCGGGAUUGAAGCUUGCUUCAAUUGCCGGCGACCGGCGCACGGGUGAGUAACGUGUAUCCAACCUUCCGUACACUCAGGGGUAGCCUUUCGGAAGAAAGAUUAAUACCUGAUGGCAUCUCUAGAAGACAUCUGAAAGAGAUUAAAGAUUUAUCGGUGAUGGAUGGGGAUGCGU